AGCUCGGUGGUCGAGUGGUAAGAUAUCUGCACUAGAAAGCUGCAGGAGGUCGUGGGUUCGAGUCCCACCCGAGUGA